AGGACGAACGCUGGCGGCGUGCCUAACACAUGCAAGUCGAGCGAUGAAGCUUCCUUCGGGAAGUGGAUUAGCGGCGGACGGGUGAGUAACACGUGGGUAACCUGCCUCAAAGAGUGGGAUAGCCUCCCGAAAGGGAGAUUAAUACCGCAUAAUAUUAUUUUAUGGCAUCGUAGAAUAAUCAAAGGAGCAAUCCGCUUUGAGAUGGACCCGCGGCGCAUUAGCUAGUUGGUGAGGUAACGGCUCACCAAGGCGACGAUGCGUAGCCGACCUGAGAGGGUGAUCGGCCACAUUGGAACUGAGACACGGUCCAGACUCCUACGGGAGGCAGCAGUGGGGAAUAUUGCGCAAUGGGGGAAACCCUGACGCAGCAACGCCGCGUGAGUGAUGAAGGUUUUCGGAUCGUAAAACUCUGUCAUUAGGGACGAUAAUGACGGUACCUAAUGAGGAAGCCACGGCUAACUACGUGCCAGCAGCCGCGGU
rnacentral:rRNA from 1 species